rnacentral:lncRNA from 1 species
AGGAUACAGGACCAUUUGCCCAGUUCCACGGCUGGACCCCUCUCUACUUCUCUUUUGGUACCUUGGGGGACUGCAAAGCCUCUGCAUUUCUCCUGGAAGCUCAGUUCCAUCCCUUCCAUUGCCACCAGCAACCACCGGUGGAGACUUGGCAGAUAACUUUCUGGGGCUUAGCCAUCCAGGGCUGUGUGACCCCUUCAGGGGCCUCAGCUCGAGCUAGUAUGGAGUGAGAUCACUUUUCAGCCUGAUAAAUAGGACACUUCAAACCAUGCAUUCCUACCAACUACUCCACCCUGUGCCCUCUUCCUCACUUACACUGCAGAAUGGUGUGUUUUGGUGCAGUGCGAAGCUCAGUGAUUCUGACCUCAUCAGCCCUCUGCUUCAAGUAGGUGGUCUCACAGCCCACAUUCAGAUUCCACAGGCUGAGCACCAUACCCAGCUGUGUCUGAGCAGGUAGAUUUGUGAAUGGAACCCACAGGCACUGCACUCCC